GACGUAGGGGGCGAGCGUUGUCCGGAUUUAUUGGGCGUAAAGCGUGCGUAGGCGGCUGCGCAAGUCGGUUGUGAAACCCCGGGGCUCAACCCCGGAACUGCAUCCGAUACUGCGUGGCUAGAGGUAGGUAGGGGAGAUCGGAAUUCCUGGUGUAGCGGUGAAAUGCGCAGAUAUCAGGAGGAACACCGGUGGCGAAGGCGGAUCUCUGGGCCUUACCUGACGCUCAGGCACGAAAGCUAGGGGGAGCGAACAGG
rnacentral:rRNA from 1 species